rnacentral:lncRNA from 1 species
CAACUCCUCCCAACCCCUCAUAGCCCUGCUCUGGAGCAGGUAAAUAUUCCUCACGCCAGCAGGUGAGGAGGCUGGGGCCAGAUGACAGCUAGUGAGGGAGCAGAGACAAGACAAGGCGAGCCUGUGACAGAGCGAGACCCUGUCUCAAAAAACAAAAACAAGACAUGUGAGCUUGGACUCCAGUGUGGAAUCCCAUGUCCGCUCAGUGCACCUUUCUGCCGCUGAAAGUACAAGAGGAGAGGGGAAACCCACAGGUGGAGCUGACCAUGAGGACUGUCACAGGUGAGCUCAGGGGCUUGGGCGCCACCCCACAGGCCAUGGGGGGCUGCUGACCAACUCUGGGAGUGACAUCAUGAGGAAUGUGGCAUUUUAGGACAGUUGCCUUCUUAAUGAAGAGGACUCUGCUGAGUCUGGUGUAGCCAGGGGUGGCAGGAGCCAGCUGACAUGGGUAUGAGGGCUACUCCCUGACCCUCUCGGGAGGGUGUUACUAGCAGCAGCCACUGCAGCCCUGAGCCCCAGAAACACCAUUGUGGAGGCUUACAGUGCCUUCUCGAAGCUACCCAGCUUUCCCUCACCAGGGGCUGGUCCUUGGUUCCCACCUGCUGCCAUUCUUCCAGCUUUGAGAGGCAAAUCCAGAAAUCAGCCCUCCAGCUUCCUCUACCAAGAAGACUGGCGGUUACAACCCUGGCUCUGUGGGGCUUCUCUUGCCCUCUCUUCUGACUGCCCUACUUGGCUCCAGGGAACUCUUUGAAUAAGAGGACACCAGAUCAUGCCUGCAGUUCCAGCCCAGGGCUUUGGUAUCAGGAUGAUGCUGGCCUCAUAAAAUGAGUAAGGGAGGAUUCCCUCUUUUUGUAUUGAUUGGAAUAGUUUCAGAAGGAAUGGUACCAGCUCCUCCUUGUACCUCUGGUAGAAUUCAGCUGUGAAUCCGUCUGGUCCUGGACUUUUUUUGGUUGGUAAGCUAUUAAUUAUUGCCUCAAUUUCAGAGCCUAUUAUUGGUCUAUUCAGGGAUUCAACUUCUUCCUUGUUUAGUCUUGGGAGGGUGUAUGUGUUGAAGAAUUUAUCCAUUUCUUCUAGAUUUUCUAGUUUAUUUGCGUAGAAGUGUUUAUAGUAUUCUCUGAUGGUAGUUAGUAUUUCUGUGGGAUCGGUGGUGAUAUCUCCUUUAUCAUUUUUUAUUGCGUCUAUUUGAUUCUUCUCUCUUUUCUUCUUUAUUAAUCUUGUUAGCGGUCUAUCAAUUUUGUUGAUCUUUUCAAAAAACCAACUCCUGGAUUCAUUGAUUUUUUUGAAGGGCUUUUUGUAUCUCUAUCUCCACUUGCCACUGAGAGCUUAAGACAGCAGGACACUGGCUGGGCUCUCCUGAUAUCACUUGCUCUGCCCCGUUCUGCCCCAUCCAAAGAGCAGGGAAUACCAGAAGUAGGGGGUAGGGAAACAGGAGAUGGGAAAGUGGAAGGACUCCAGCAGGGGUCCUUCAUCUACAUUCCUAGUGCAGACCCUUCUGGAAGGAAAAAUACAUACAAAAGGUGCAGUUGGGAGGCUGAAGGGCACCACCCAACCCUAUCACUGCCAGGAACCUGAGCUGCCCCCGACAGAGUGAGAGGGGUCUCAUGGGUCCCCAAGCUCUCUGUGUGGCAGGAAACAAUAGCCACUUUUCUGGGGCCUCCAAGGAGAGGAGGAGUGAGAUCACACCUGGGGAGGGUGAAGGCAGAAAUACAGGAUAUGAGCAUCCUCCCAGGGGAGCAUGGGGAGCCAGGAGCAAGGCCUGGGGCUGGCUGCCUCCUCCCCAGUGUCCCUCCUUCAUCUAGGUUCCUGGGCCACACACUCUGGACUACCUGCCUCUGCUGGGAUUCUUCAAUGGUCUCACAGACCCAACUAGACUGUAAGCUGCUUGAAAGCAGGUCCACGGCAUCAGACUGUGGUUCAGGGCUCGGGUCCUGGAGUAGGGCAGGCCAGAGGCUGACCUACUUACUAGCUGUGUGAUUUUAAGCCAGUCCCUUAACCUCCUUGAGAUUCUCCUGUGCAAUGAAGAUAAAAAUAGGACCUAUCUCAUGAGAUCAUUGGGAAAAGUAAAUGAGUUAAUCAGAGUAAGUGCUUAACAAAAAUAUCUCCAUUGCUUGUGCCCCCAGAGCAACUAGCACCAGCCUCAGCAUGGAGCAGGACUUCAGUUCCAGCAGCGAGGACUGAGAUCAGACACAAGAGAAAGCUCCCUGAUGAGGAGGGGUGAUUCUAAAACGAAGGGCGGAAAUUAUCUGGGGAAUUUCCUUCCCGUGAAGCCUCAGGAACAUGCCAGUCCCCCACUUCGGUCUGUCCUGGGGGGUCUCACGCCCCUGUCCUCCUAGAGAAAUCUAGAUCCUCCAAACUCUGCCUGGGUUCUUCCUGGGGAGUCUUGACCCCUGCCUUGUGGUUGAUGUGGGAUAGGGGACCCGGGAACAGGGCUGCCUUCCUCUGGCCAAGGCCUGGCAAGCAAGUGUGGGAUGGGUGCUGUCUUCCUGAGAGGGACAAUAGAAGUGACAGAGCCCCCUAAUUCAAGACCCUGCAGAGGUGGUGUGAGAUCUUAUAAUAUCAGUCUCUAAGCCAGUGCCUCUCAAGCUCUCUUUGGUGAAGAAUCAAUUUUUAAAAUAUAUAAUCAGUCACAGAUCAAUGCUUUUGUAAAAUGCAAUAAAAGUUAAUUUCCAAAAAAAUCACAUACUUGGGUACCAUGGUAAUGUCAAUGUAAAAUUGCUGUAAAAUUGUUCUAAGUGCUUACUCUCAAUGUCUGUGCUCAGCUUAUCAGCAACCAGUAACAGUUUGUACCACUGGUUUGUACCACGACAACCAUGCUACACUUGGAGCUGACACUUUCAUAAAGGUUAAUUUCCCUCUUUUCCUUCCUGAAGUUUGACCUCUUCCUUGAUUAGAUAGGAGGAGGGAUUCCGACAGCCCCUCACCAUCUGUUUAGAACCUCUCCCCCCAUUGCAGGUCCUUCCUGGUCAUCUAACACCAUAUGCCAUAUGGAACAGUCCUGAUUAUACAUAUUCUGUCUCAUGGGCAAUGUGUUCUGAUUUGGGUCUUUUUUUUUUUUUUUUUUUUUUUUGAGACAGAUACUCUGUCACUCAGGUUGGAGUGCAAUGGCAUGAUCAUAGCUCACACUGCAGCCUCCAACUCCUGGGCUCAAGCGAUCCUCCUGCCUCAACCUCCCUUGUAGCUAGGACUACAGGUGUGAGUCAUCACCAUAGCUGAUUUUUUUUUACUUUUGUUAUUUGUAGAGAUGAGGACUCACUGUGUUGCCCAGGCUGGUCUUGAACUCCUGACCUCAAGCAAUCCUCCCACCUCAGCCUCCCGAAGUGCUGGGAUGAGCCACCCAUUCACACAGGCAUGAGGCACUGCACCUAGCUUGAUUUUUUUUUCUAUUGACUGCCCUACAGUAGAUGUGUUCGUGAAAACGUGAGCAUAGAUUCUGUAUUUGAUGCAAAAAAGAAUGAGGAGAACUGGGUCCCAAGGCAGGCAAGCCCUUCCUGGGAUGGUUAUAGGAACCAAAAGUGUCCUGCUGAGUGGGACACAGUGCAAAGGCUUCUGCCUGGAAUUAUAACAACUGCAGUUACAAUUUUUUUUGAGCACCUAAGAUAUGCCAGACCCUGAGCUUCACAAGCCGUAUCUCUAUCUUUCCCAGCAAUUUUGCAAAAUAGAUAUGAUUUGUCUAAUUUAAAAUGAGCUAUAUCAACUCCAUGUGGCUAUGCAGGUGCUAUGCAGCCUAGAAGGCUUUAAAACGGCAUCUUCCAAAUGCUGGUCUGGGAGCAGCUUCACAGCAUCCUGAGGAGCUUUUUAAAAAUGCAGACACCCAGCCCCACAUCCUCGAUUUUUAUUCGAAGCCUGUGAGCCUUCCCCAGGCCCCCCAGGUGACUCCGAAUCCUGGCUGGCUCUGGCACUGCGGUUCUGGGCUGCUAAGGGCUGGGGUCUUGUGGGCUGAGGGGGAACCAUAGGAAAAGUCCAGGAAAAGCCACAAUGGGAAGGGUGCCUGGGAGGGAACUUCAGUAAACUAUAAUACAGCCAUAUGGCAGCAUACUAUACAGCCCUUAAAAAUGAAGAAUUUGGCUGGGCAAAGUGGCUCAUGGCUAUAAUCCCAACACUUUGGGAGGUCAAGGCAGGUGGAUCACCUGAGGUCAGGAGAUCAAGACCAGCCUGACUGACAUGGUGAAAUCCCAUCUCUACUAAAAAUGCAAAAAUUAGCCAGGCGUGGUGGGACACACCAGUAGUCCUAGAUACUCAGGAGGCUGAGGCAGGAAAAUCGCUUGAACCCGGGAGGCAGAGGUUGCAGUGAGCUGAGAUCCCGCCACUGCACUCCAGCCUAGGUGACAGAGCAAGACUCCGUCUCAAAAAAAAAGAAUUUGUGAUAACAUUAGAACAGACAUUAAGGGAACAAGACAGGUAAUAAAUUGCGUAUAUAGUUUUGCCACAGCUGUAUAACAAAUGCAAAAGUGCAUGUUUUUUUAAAAAAAAGACUGGAAGGAAAAACAAAAUGUUUUAUUGGUUAUCUCCACAUGAAGAUUCUAUGUGAUUUUACCUUCCUCUGUACACUUUUCUCCCUAGGGAGCGUGUUACCUUUCUAAAUAGAAAAGCGUAAGUGUGUUUUUGAAAGAGAAAAGUCUGUCAUCCUCUGUCACCCCAGCCAGCAGAAGUCAACUUUCACAUUCUGGAGUUAGGCAGAAAUUGCUGGGGUUUUUGUUUUCUUCUUCCCUCUGAGGGCAGGAAAUAACUCUUUCCCACUGGGUUUCCUGCUGGAGUUGGAGGCCCAGAAAAAUUCUGGCUGAAGACUGGAGGCAGGUAUAAACAUGCCAGGCUUGCAAGGUCCUCUGUGAGUGGCUCUUGGGUAUCUCUGCGUCCCUCUCUCUCCAGCACCUGCUCUGGGAGCUGUUUCUGGAAAGCACCAUCACCACUUUUGCAAGGCCGUCCUCUCUACCUGGAAGGCUCUUCCCUGCUCCUCUCUUGCUUAACUAACAUCCUUCGGCCAUUGUCUUAGGUGUCCAUGUUCUAAGGCCCAUCUUCCCUGACCCCCAGUACUGAGUCAGGACCCCCAAGAGCUCCCAGAACACCCUGUUCUCCCUGAUUUGAUUGUCAUCAUGGGUUACUUCUAAGGCUCCCCAAGGGUUGGGACUCUAUAUCCGGUGCAUUAUCAAAGCCUGGUACACAGCAGGCACUCAAUAAAUGUUUACUGAAUGAAUGAAGAAAUCCUGCCUUGAGAUCCAAGGUACCAAAGGAGCUCUGAGAGAGGCAGGUGUCAUCCCAAGGAGCUCUGGUACCUGCCUCUCUCAGAGCUCCUUGGAGGAAAGGGUCCAGGUAGUUCUUUCUGCAUAAAGCUGUUAUGGCUGGUGCCAUGUGAUUCAAAAACCACCUCCACCACCUGCUCCAAGGGAUUAGACCGGAGAUAGGAAGGCAAGCAGACAGCGGGCAGGAGGGGGCUGGCCUCCUCUUCAAUGGCUUGCUCAGAAACUCUGCCCCAUGCAGGGACUCUGUCUAGGGUGGUGGCUAACUGGC